UAUCCCUAACCCUACCAUAACCAACUUUUUCAGACUGUGGCAUUAUAAUAGGUGGAAACUAACCAUAACCAACUAUACCGAACCUAAUUUAUUAACUUUUUUCAUAUUAGUUAGAAACCUAACCAUAACCAACUUUUUCAGACUGUGGCAUUAUAAUAGGUGGACAUCACAUGUCGACCAGAACCUCAACCUAACCAUAACCGAUUUUAUUUUUUAUUACAACCGUUUCCUUUUUUCUUUUUUCUUUCUUUCUGCCUCUUCUUUUUCUUUUUCUUUUUUUCUUUUGGUACCAUCUUUAUCUGGGAUUCUUUAGGCCAGUGCACCACAAGGACAUGAUUCCUCAAAUUAAACAUCUAUUUCUAAACCUAACCUUGCCAGUGCCACUGAACUCCUUAUGAUCGGGGGAUAUCAUUUAAUUAUAUAUAA